rnacentral:rRNA from 1 species
UGGGGAAUUUUGGACAAUGGGCGAAAGCCUGAUCCAGCAAUGCCGCGUGUGUGAAGAAGGCCUUCGGGUUGUAAAGCACUUUUGUCCGGAAAGAAAUCCUUGGCUCUAAUACAGUCGGGGGAUGACGGUACCGGAAGAAUAAGCACCGGCUAACUACGUGCCAGCAGCCGCGGUAAUACGUAGGGUGCAAGCGUUAAUCGGAAUUACUGGGCGUAAAGCGUGCGCAGGCGGUUUGCUAAGACCGAUGUGAAAUCCCCGGGCUCAACCUGGGAACUGCAUUGGUGACUGGCAGGCUAGAGUAUGGCAGAGGGGGGUAGAAUUCCACGUGUAGCAGUGAAAUGCGUAGAGAUGUGGAGGAAUACCGAUGGCGAAGGCAGCCCCCUGGGCCAAUACUGACGCUCAUGCACGAAAGCGUGGGGAGCAAACAGGAUUAGAUACCCUGGUAGUCCACGCCCUAAACGAUGUCAACUAGUUGUUGGGGACUUCAUUUCCUUAGUAACGUAGCUAACGCGUGAAGUUGACCGCCUGGGGAGUAC